CUCUUAUAGUUUAUUUAGAUCAAAUAAUGCAAAAAAAAAAAAAAAAGCUUUCAUGCAUGUGUGAAAUCAAUCAACCGCACACAAGUUUGUUGUAUUUCUGUAUUACUCUCAAAACGUAACAAAAGACAUUGUGUAACAGACGUGAGAGACUCCGCACAGCAGAUCUCCGCACAUCAGCAUGGUAGAAUAUAAAAAAGUAGAAUAUAAUAUCACAUCAAGUGAAUGUAAAGUGUUUCAUGUAGCAUUUGAUAUCACUAAAUACAGGAUACAUCACAUAAAAACAUACAUGUAUAAUACAAAUAUUACAGUAAACACACCGGAGUUCAGUAUCAGAGACGACAGAGGCGUCGCUCUACUGAAUUAAAGGAUGAUAAAGCAGCGAUAAUGUCGUUUAUUAAAAUGUUCUGCAUGAAUUCAACUGGAUUGAUGAGCGUGAUGCCAUUUCCUGCCACCAGGGGGUGAUGAAGUUACAUCAUCAUCAUCAUCAUCAUCAUCAUUAUUAUUAUUAUUAUUAUUAUUAUUAUUAUUAUUAAAUUGCUGUAUUAUAAAGUUUUGAGUUUAAUAAAUAUUAAUUUAACUCUUUAAAUAAAAAUCUGCUUGUGUAUAAUUUUUAAACACAAACCAAAUUAUAAAUAUUAUAAAUCUGACCUUUUAACCACUGUUCAUUUUCAAAACACAAAAAUAUUCAGCGCGCGUACAGCAUCAUCAACGGCGCCAUCUGGUGGCUGUUCAGAGUUUUGUACCUUAAUGCAGUGAUGCGACUGGGACGUCAUCAGUUAGCGACCCAAACACUGAGAACCCACAGUGAAGGUUUUCAGAUUAGCAUGCUAACUAGCAUGUGGCUGCAACCCAAAUCAUGCUAAGUAGAACCACAGUAAUAAAUAUCUUCUCGUUACGAGCACUGACCGUUCAAUCAGCCAUUUUGUUUAUGACCGAGAACGCUCACUUCCUCGCGAGAAAGUAGUGAUGUUCUGAAACGUCCACGAUAACAAUAUAUCGUAUAAUUGUUCGGUUAAAUGCUUCCUGGCAAGACCUACUGCUACUUCUGUGACUUCCUGUUUCACAGGAUGCCAACAGGAAGUCAGUGCUCAAAAAUCAAGAAGUGGUCAGCAAAACAAAACAGAAAUCAAGGAUUGAGAUUGAGCAGUAAAAUAAAAAGAGUUCACACGUCCAGCUCGUCUUAGUCUCGUCUCCACCUCAUGUGGGUCUCGGUGUGAGGAACUAAUCAGGAACUAAUCAGGAACU
ensembl:lncRNA